rnacentral:rRNA from 1 species
UACGGAGGGUGCAAGCGUUAUCCGGAUUCACUGGGUUUAAAGGGUGCGUAGGUGGGGUGGUAAGUCAGUGGUGAAAUCUCCGAGUUUAACUUGGAAACUGCCAUUGAUACUAUCAUUCUUGAAUAUUGUGGAGGUCAGCGGAAUAUGUCAUGUAGCGGUGAAAUGCUUAGAUAUGACAUAGAACACCAAUUGCGAAGGCAGCUGGCUACACAUAUAUUGACACUGAGGCACGAAAGCGUGGGGAUCAAACAGG